rnacentral:lncRNA from 1 species
ACUGGAUAAGUAUGGAUAUGUAUCCUUCAGUCAGCACUUUUAAGUUAUUGUCUGAAAACUGGAAAAUCCCCCCUUUUUAUGAAUAAAAUCUCAUAACUCGGAAACGUAAAUUCUAAAAUUUAUUAAAAUAGAAAGGGAGCGUAAGUUAAUAAAUAUAAACAAUUCUACAAAGUUGCAUGAAACAGCUCAAAGCAUUUUUGAAUUAUUGUACGGAAACUGGAAAAUCACAAUUAUUUAAUGAAUAAAACGCCAUAUCUUGGACACCUAAAAUCUAAAAUUUAUAAAAAUCGAAAUGGAGCUCACGUCAAUAGAUAUUAAUUCGAUCCACCAAAGUUGCAUACAAACUGGAUGAAGCGUUUUUUAGUUAUUAUACGACAAGUGGACGACUG